rnacentral:piRNA from 1 species
UAACCCGUGAUGAGUUCUGAAGGAGGC